AGUUUACCUACCUCCAAUUACUUAGAGGUAACAUAAAUUUACCUGCGCCCCGUCAAGACCAAAUUCAUUAGACCCCCCACAUCCCGAGCAAGCCUCGGAGAAGAAAGAAGAGAAUGAUAAAGUAUUUAUAAGGAAUCGUAGAAGAGUCUGGAAACAGGCCAACACGAUACUACUACAGAGGAACUGAUAUAUUUUUUAACUUAUAACAACCCAAACUUGCAUGUGUUGUAAAGCACGUUGCGUGGUAAGAUGAACGUCCAGCGAUCUGUGUAAAUGACGGAAUGUGUCGGUAGAUAUCUCAACUGAGAAAGGAUGUAAUUGGAUAAUUUGGUACAACGAAUUCGAAUUCACUCCAGCUUUUACCAUGUUGACAUUAUCAAGAGCGACUUUUAUCCAAGUGAUUACCGACAUUUCCUUUUAUCUAGCAGAUAUUAUUUACAGAGGCAUUGUUGUUAAAGAACUAUUCUCAGAAACUAAAGCCAUUUUUGAGAAAUUCUUACAAUAUGGUUGGCUGUUUGCUGCUGGGUUUUACCUUGUGUAUGUUAUUUAUUGAAAUAGUAAAACUAUAUGUUGGUCGCCUCAGACCUCAUUUUUUGACUGUGUGUCAACCGAAUAUUUCUACCUCCAAUUGCUCAAAGACAUUCAUAACGAGCUAUACCUGUCAAGGAAGUGAUCUAGAUGCCAUUUAUGAUCCAAGAAAAUCUUUUCCGUCUGGCCACAGUGGCGCCGCAUGGAACGUGAUGACAUAUCUAGCGAUGUAUAUACAUUUUCGGAUUCUCACAAACUGGCCAAGAUUUCGUGUUUUCUGCCCUAUACUACAAUUAGCAGCCAUAUGUUUGGCUGCUUACGUCAGCAUCAGUCGUCUGCAAGAUUACAAACACCAUACUGGUGACGUCAUAGGUGGUGGUAUUAUUGGGAUAGUUUUUACUUUAUCUGCGAUCUAUCAAAACCCAAAGGCUAGGCGGGGUUUUCUGAGAGGAGGUUAUGAUCAGGCCGACUUUGGUGACACAAUGGACACUGUCAUCUGUACAGAGCUGCAUCAAGCCAACAGUAAACCCAGAACGACUCCGAAUGGCCAGACAUAACAGUACGGGGUCGUCGAAUGACAAGAUAUAGUUGGAAGGUAUCAUCUAAUGACCAGGAAUAUCUGGAUGGGAUCCAGUGGCGAUUCUAGUCCCUGUCGGUGCUAAUUCUUUUCGCUGUGGAUUUCAGGAAGUCGACCCUCAACAAUAAAACUAGAAAACUCUUGUUAUAUUCAGAAAUAUUUUUAAUCGUUGUUUUGUACAUUUUUACGUACAAGUGAAUAAUAUAGAUGUAGAUGUUAAAAGUACUUAUUGUUAUCUUUAUACUUUUUAUACUGCAGAUCUUAUAUUUACCCAGUAUUAUGAAAAUUAAAAUACAAUGAGGACUAAAG
rnacentral:misc_RNA from 1 species